AAAUGCGAUAAGUAGUGUGAAUUGCAGAAUUCAGUGAAUCAUCGAAUCUUUGAACGCACAUUGCGCCCUUUGGUAUUCCUUAGGGCAUGCCUGUUCGAGCGUCAUUUAAACCCUUCAAGCUCAGCUUGGUGUUGGGUGACUGUCCGCCGCCCCCGGGCGUGGACUCGCCCCAAAUCCAUUGGCGGCCGGUACGUAGGCUUCGAGCGCAGCAGAAACACGAACUCGAGCCCGCGGUGUCGGCUCCCAGAAGCCAUCUCUUUUAUUUUGACCUCGGAUCAGGUAGGGAUACCCGCUGAACUUAAGC
rnacentral:misc_RNA from 1 species